rnacentral:sRNA from 1 species
AGAUAGUCCUGAUAGAAGCGGUAUUUCUUUUGGAAGAGAUGAAAUAUGUCUAAGGAGCAAGGUUUUCCCAAAAGGAUUGCAACGGACAGGACUGCCC